rnacentral:lncRNA from 1 species
UAUCUUAAAAGAAUGCACCCUCUUCAUUUUUUAAAAAGGAUCAUUUUAAAGCUGCUGAGGGUUUUCCAAACAAAAGAAAAACUGUCUUGGCAAAACCGCAUCAAAUUUCAGAGACCAAAGAAGCUGAUGAAAGUGAUCCGGAUGCUCAAGGGUGAGGUCUGGGAGUGGGAGGGCUUUAUCCUGCUGUUUGAGAGAAUAUCUACGUUGGGGACUUGGAAAUCUGUUUCACUGUAAUGGUGGAAAACCAGCAGUAAUUCUGAAAAAAAUAUGGUUGCUGCAACCAGGAAAAGCAGAUUUCAAAGUACAAAGCAAGUCACCACAGGCAAUGCCAGUGAGGCAUUCCAGUGACACCAGAGCCCUUGAACAAAGCUGGAGCCCAGGUGACCUCCACAGGGCCCACUCCAGCAUUACUCCCUUUUUCAGGAUGAACAUUUGGGCUUUUACCCUGUGAAUGUGCCAGGCUCCACAAGGCCAAGGUCAGUCCCUCAGCCCUCCUGGAACACCCUGAUCUUUUCUAGGUACAAGUUUGCACGAUUCUAGGUACGAGUUUGCAGGAUGACCUCAGGUGGCUGGAGGGAAGAGAGCAGGAGCAGGACUAAAGAGAAAGGCAAUUCUUGGGGUCCAUUUCUUGAGACUGAUUCUUAGGAAAGAAAAAGAAAAAGCCACAGCAUAGUUUGCUUUCCUGUCCAUUUUCCCCUGAAAAGUAAUACUAUCCAUAACUAAGUGUAGGGCAAGAGGAGAAUUGACCUGCUAGUUAAGGCUGCCUCCUCUCCUCAGGGGAUCAUGAGCUUUGACCAGGAUAACCAGCUCGUUUUAGAGCACAUUAAGCACUAGACAGGGUAACAAACAGCUUCCUUUCAAAGCGUAAGAAAGCAAAAUGACAAAGUGGCCUGAGGUGGAAAAGCAAUGAUCAGAAACAUUAAAAAUAAUAGCAGCUGACAGAUAACAUUUAGGACCAGGGACCUCAUCCUCUGCUGGUUAUUAAUAUUCCUGCUCUCCUAUUAUCUUUUUGACGGGAAUGUAAACUCCGUUUGUCUUGGGAUAAACGCGAUACCAGAGCUGAGCAGAUAAGGAGGCGCUUAAUACGUAAUUGUUGGUGUAAACAAAUAAAUAGAUUGUAACGAUGUCAGAAAUGAUUAGUUCAGGUGGAGAGUGCGACUGGCUUCCAAAUAUUGGUCAAGAGCUCUAAGUAGGAUGAGCCAAGGAUACAGUUAAUGUAAUAGGUUCACACGAUCAGGUGACUUUUUUGGGUCUAGAAAUCUGAGGAGGUGACGAUGUACUGAACGGCAGUCUUCCUGCGAGGAAAGAGUUAAAAACACAUCCAGAUCAGGGUUUCUGAGGGACAAGGUGUUCAGCAGGGCUGAGGGCCUCCCUUUCUGCCGGCUGCUCCCCCACGCAGCAGGGGUGAUGCGGACCUUCCGGUCCUGCUGAGUGUGCUUGACCAAAGGUGACGAUGACUAAGGGCUAAGGCCGUGCCCUCCCUCCCUCCAAAUCGAUCCUUUAAUGUGACUUAUC